CCCUUAGAUGUUCUGGGCUGCACACGCGCUACACUGAAGGAGGCAGCGUGUACUCCUGGAUCGAAAGAUUUGGGUAACCCGCGAAUCUCCUUCGUGCUAGGGAUUGAGGUUUGCAAUUAUCCUUCAUGAACGAGGAAUUCCCAGUAAGUGCAAGUCAUAAGCUUGCGCUGACUACGUCCCUGCCCUUUGUACACACCGCCCGUCGCUACUACCGAUUGAAUGAUUUAGUGAGGACUUCGGACUGGGACCGAUGCGGCUUUCGGGCUGCGUCGGUAUUCUGGAAAGAUGUCCAAACUGUAUCAUUUAGAGGAAGUAAAAGUCGUAACA
rnacentral:rRNA from 1 species